rnacentral:lncRNA from 1 species
GAUCGGACAGUGCUUUUAUGUUUUCAACUCUGAAGGAUCAGUGACUGGCUCCGUGCUGGGCUCUGCUCCAGGCCUUGACAAACAUGAACCCAUUGAUCCGCCCCCACAAGCCUGUAAAGCCAGGGUUCUGCCAUCCCAUUCCACAGAGGAGGAAAYGGCCACGGGAAGUGUUCAGGAGCCCUAGCCCCACAUCCUGAUUUAAUCAGUACCCUCCCCAGGAGGACCUCCUGUUGGGACACAGGCCUGUUUUCUAGAGCUCCCUGCUGUUCCCAAAAGAGGGGACUGAUGAAUCCUCCCAUCUUCGACCUGUCUGUCCCGGAGGGGUAGGCGACUCUGGACCUGCCAUUUCCUCCCCUGAGGGCCUCAGGGUCUCGCUCUGCCUUCUCCACCAGAGCCGGUGGGGUGGGGGUGCCCAGGAGCCCGUGAGUCAUAGGUUGAGCCAUUAUUUUGAUAUGAAGCAGCGCUGGGAUGAAGCACUCUGCUAAAAAUAAUAAUACACAGUGACAGCAGUCACCACCGUUGAUUGCCUCGUGUGGCACUGCCGUGGGCCCCCRAGACGCUGCACACAACCUCACCACGAUGUCUUUGCUGUGGGCACCCCCCCCCCCGCGUUUUGCAGGUGGGGAACAGGAAGAGACCCCAGGGGCGUGACAUCUCCCGAGUGGGACCACUGCUGCUCCCUGUGGGAAGACCCCUGUGCAUGGAAGGAGACUCCUCUGGAGCCAGGGCGCUGGGAAGGAGAACUGAGUGUCCCGGGCUUCAGCCACCUUCCCAGGGGAGAAGGGCGCAGUGCUACCCACCGUGCCCCUGGGAGUUAGAAACCGCGUCCCUUAGCAGCUGCGGGGCCCUUGCCAGCGCUGGCUUCUCUGGCCAGCUUUCUGUCUGGGGACACUGA